rnacentral:rRNA from 1 species
CCUACGGGAGGCAGCAGUGAGGAAUAUUGGUCAAUGGACGAGAGUCUGAACCAGCCAAGUAGCGUGAAGGAUGACUGCCCUAUGGGUUGUAAACUUCUUUUAUAAGGGAAUAAAACGUUCCACGUGUGGGAUUUUGUAUGUACCAUAUGAAUAAGGACAGGCUAACUCCGUGCCAGCAGCCGCGGUAAUACGGAGGAUCCGAGCGUUAUCCGGAUUUAUUUGGUUUGAAGGGAGCGUAGGUGGAUUGUUAAGUCAGUUGUGAAAGUUUGCGGCUCAACCGUAAGAUUGCAGUUGAAACUGGCAGUCUUGAGUACAGUAGAGGUGGGCGGAAUUCGUGGUGUAGCGGUGAAAUGCUUAGAUAUCACGAAGAACUCCGAUUGCGAAGGCAGUUCACUGGACUGCAACUGACACUGAGGCUCGAAAGUGUGGGUAUCAAACAGGAUUAGAUACCCGGGUAGUC